CUUAAUAUACCGCCAAUAAUUCAAGAAUGUGAGACUGCAUGACUAAUGAUAGUUCCUGGAGAUGAGACAGGAUGAUGAAAAAGAAACUGGCUACUGGAUAUCAUACUGAUGAGUAGGUUAAUGGUCAGUGGCCUUCUGUUUUAUGUGGAGAGAUUUUUUUCUGUGAUUUCUCAAAACAAAUAUAUAUUUCAUCUUUUAAAAUGAAUUAUCAUUUUAUUUCUGUUUCACAAGGAGGCUCAGUGGUUGUUAGCAGGGAAAAACUGGGGAAAAAGAAGACAGAGGAAGGUCAGAAAAGGAGGAAGUUUUUCACCCAGAGGGUGGUGACACACUGGAACAGGUUGCCCAAGGAGGUUGUGGAUGCCCCAUCCCUGGAGGCAUUCAAGGCCAGGCUGGAUGUGGCUGUGGGCAGCCUGGUCUGGUGGUUGGCAACCCUGCACAUAGCAGGGGGGUUGAAACUUGAUGAUCAUCGUGGUCCUUUUCAACCCAGGCCAUUCUAUGAUUCUAUGAUUCUAUGAUGAUUUUUUUUCCAGAAAUGAUUUCCUCUGAUGGAGGUAAGUACUUUGAAAGGAACCUGUUAAUAUUUCUGUGAUGUCUAAUCAACAGCUGGACUUCUAACAGUAUAGAUGUACCAUACAGAAAGUUGCACGUGGACUUCAAAACUCACAUUGUUCUAAAUGUCAUGAGAAUUUCACGAGAAAUGAAAAAAAACCAGCAAUGAGCGGAGUCAUUGCAAAGGUAUUUAGACACUGUGCACAAGGCAAGAGGCCAUCUUACUACCUUUAGGAGCAGAGUUUGAAGAUUUGGUUGUGUCUUGGCCAGUGCCAAGAAAAAAAGUGCAAUAAAAGGAUUGUGUUUAAAUCUGCAGAAACUGAGAUCCAGCCCAAAGCAAGACAGCGUGAAAAUAAGGAGCUGUGGAUCAAGCGGCUCACUGAGUGAGCUCGCCUGCCUGUUAGUCUUCACUGAAUGAAAACUGCUCACCUCACUGUGAAAGAUGCAGCAUAAAGGCUUGAUGUAGACUUGGUUCCCUCAGUGUGACCUGUAUUACCUGAGCAGAAGGAUGUCUCAUUUCUGGAUUCUGAUCAGGCUUAGGGGUGCCAGAAGAUUCUUGUUUUUUUUCUGCUGGACACAUCUUCUACAAAGCUGCUGUGGGAAGCUGGCUUAGGAUCUUCUGAGGACUAUAUGUGGCUCACAUCUAUGCCUCUUCUUGUCCUUUCAGAUCAACCUCUGUCACGUUGCUAGAAGUGACUUGUUCAAAAGGUGCCUUUCAUCUGCUUUGUGCUUGCUCACCUGUCCUUCAGGCUCAGAAAGCCUGCUGCAGG
ensembl:lncRNA